CCUGGCGACGAGUGGCGAACGGGUGAGUAAUGCAUCGGAACGUGCCCAGUAGUGGGGGAUAGCCCGGCGAAAGCCGGAUUAAUACCGCAUACGACCUAUGGGUGAAAGCGGGGGACCGCAAGGCCUCGCGCUAUUGGAGCGGCCGAUGUCAGAUUAGGUAGUUGGUGGGGUAAAGGCCUACCAAGCCUACGAUCUGUAGCUGGUCUGAGAGGACGACCAGCCACACUGGGACUGAGACACGGCCCAGACUCCUACGGGAGGCAGCAGUGGGGAAUUUUGGACAAUGGGCGCAAGCCUGAUCCAGCCAUGCCGCGUGCGGGAAGAAGGCCUUCGGGUUGUAAACCGCUUUUGUCAGGGAAGAAACGCUCUGGGCUAAUACCCCGGGGUAAUGACGGUACCUG
rnacentral:rRNA from 1 species